rnacentral:lncRNA from 1 species
AGACAUUUUGCUCUCAGCUCCAGACCCUCCUCACCUCCCUUCCUAGCUCAGAACUCCACUUUCCUGAGCUAGUGCCCCUCCCUGACGUGAUGCUUUUUGGCUGAGGUCAAAUCACAGCCCAGCCUCCUUGACAGUUUCCCAAUCGCUCCCUCUUUCCUUCUGCCCAGAAUGUCAAUCCUUCUUCCUCCUUCAGCUCAAGUCCUCCUCCUCCCCUUCCUUCGAGACCCAUCCCAAUGCUGCACACUUCUGCCAGAGAGCAUUCUAGGGUCCCACCCCGUCCACCAGGGAACACAGGACUCCACCUCCUCUGAGCCCUCAGCUUCACUUCCCCAUCCUCAGCGGCACCAGCACCACUCAGUCUGCAAGGAUGACUUCCCUCCCUGAUAUUCAUCAAAUGACGAAAGCUUGAGACGGUGCCUUCCUAUUUCUGCUGGCUCUAUGCCCCAUCUUCCUCUGGCAAAGUGGAAAAUGGUAAAACAUGUGUACGGAGCAUUGGUAACAUGUGUAAAGCACCCAGCCAUGGAGAGCAGGAGCUGGAAGACGGCUGAGCCUAUUACCAUCCAGAGUUCUUGGCCUCCUUAAUGAAUAGAAAUUGCUAAAACACCAGGCAAGAAGCUCAGGUAAGGCUUUAUUGGGGCCCCAGCUGCAGGGGGCAGGGGGAGGGGGAACAAAAACAAACAACAGUUUCCCUUGUUGGCUUAGAUGGUCUGCCACCCCUUUGGUGGUAUUGCAGGGGACAUGCUUUUGCUCUUGGUUCUUCAGAAGUGGCAGCUGGGGUAUUAGUUUUUUUUUUAAUCCUCCUGCCUAUAAUUUGCCCCAACUGCACAGGGCACGUAUUAUUUUUAGUCCCUUAUACUUUCUUUGUAUUGGGUUGCUGGAAGAGAUGUCUGUCCAGGUACAAGCAUUGCAUCCACUGCAGCAAGGGUCCCAAGUCCCACCCCUGUCUACACCACUGUGAUCUGGCCUUGUCUCCAUUUCCAAGCUCCUUCCCACUCACUUAGCCCCUACCUACAGACCUUCUUCAGCCCCUCAGCAGGGCUCAAAUGCCUCUGUUCCCUCUGCCUCAGACCUCACCCUUCCUCACAAGGACCCUCCAUCACCAGGCAAUACAGACCCAGCCCUUAGCCACUGUCCCAGCAGCUGUCUGUGUCUUUCGUGGUGCUUAUCCUUAUAAGUACACCUCAAGCUGCCGCCAGCUGCUGUGGAUGACCCUUGAGGGCAGCAUCCAGAUAGACUUCCCCUACUGUGGCAUCUCACAGACACCCAUAAAGCCUCAAAAAAUAAUUGUCAUGAUCACGACUGGCUUCAAAAUAAUCCCAAUGCCACCAUACACCUAUGUGAAUGUCCAAAAUCCGCAGCACUGACAGCAGGUGCUGCCAAGGAUACGGAGCAACAGGACCCCUCCUUCACUGCUGGUGGGAAGGCAAAAAGGUUUGGCCACUUUGGAAGACAGUCUGAUGGUUUCUCCCAAAACUAAACCUGCACUGCUGUACAAUCCAGCAAUUACACACCUUGAUAUUUACCCAAAGAUGCUGAAAAAUUACAUCUACACAAAAACCUGCACGGGGAUGUUUAUGGAAGCUUUAUUCACAAUUGUCAAAACAUGGAAGCAACCAAGGGGCCAUUGAGUAGGUGAAUGGUUAAAUCAACUGUGGUCCAUCCAGACAACAGGAUGUUAUUCAGCGCUGAAAAGAAAUGAGCGAUCGAGCCAUGAAAAGACCUGGAGAAACCUUCAGUGCAUAUUACUAAGUGAAAGGAGUCAGUCAGAAAGGCUACAUAAUGUGCAAUUCCAAUUACAUGACAUUCUAUGAAGGUGAAAACAUGGAAGCAAUAAAAAGAUCAGGUGUUGCCACAGUAUCAGCAGGAGAAGGUAUAGAAUAGGAAGAGGACUGAGGACUUGCAGGGCAGUGAAAAUAUUCUGUAUGACAUGCUAAGGGUGGAAAAAUGUCAUUGUAUGUUUGUCAAAACACACAGAUGGUCACCAAGAGUGAAUCUUAAGGUAAACUAUGGACUUUGGAGGAGGAUGUGUCAAUGUUGGCUCAUCAGUUGUAACAAACAUCCCACUCUGGGAGGGGAAUAUAACAGAGGAAGUUAUACACAUGUGGGGCAGACGGUAUGUAAGAAUUCUCCAUACCUUCCCCUCAAUUUUGCUCUGAACUUAAAAUUGCUCUUUAAAAAAUCAUGUCUAAAAACUGCAGUUAUGAUGUGAGAUAUGAAAAAUUCAAAAACAUACUGAGUUAAACUUUUCCCCCUAUAAAAUCACCAAACUUUAAAAAA